rnacentral:rRNA from 1 species
UAGGGAAUCUUCCGCAAUGGGCGAAAGCCUGACGGAGCAACGCCGCGUGAGUGAUGAAGGUCUUCGGAUCGUAAAACUCUGUUAUUAGGGAAGAACAAAUGUGUAAGUAACUAUGCACGUCUUGACGGUACCUAAUCAGAAAGCCACGGCUAACUACGUGCCAGCAGCCGCGGUAAUACGUAGGUGGCAAGCGAUAUCCGGAAUUAUUGGGCGUAAAGCGCGCGUAGGCGGUUUAUUAAGUCUGAUGUGAAAGCCCACGGCUAAACCGUUGAGUGUCAUUGGAAACUGGAAAUCUUGAGUGCAGAAGGGGAAAGUGGAAUUCCAUGUGUAGCGGUGAAAUGCGCAGCAAUAUGGGGAAACACCAGUGGCGAAGGCGACUUUAUGGUCUGUAACUGACGCUAAUUUGCGAAAGCGUGGGGAUCAAACAGG